CUGGCUCAGAUUGAACGCUGGCUGCAUGCUUUACACAUGCAAGUCGAACGGCAGCACGGGAGCUUGCUCCUGGUGGCGAGUGGCGUACGGGUGAGUAAUGCAUCGGAACGUACCCAGUAGUGGGGGAUAGCCCGGCGAAAGCCGGAUUAAUACCGCAUAUUUCCUGAGGGAGAAAGCGGGGGACCUUCGGGCGUCGCGCUACUGGAGCGGCUGAUGUCGGAUUAGCUAGUUGGUGGGGUAAAGGCCUACCAAGGCGACGAUCCGUAGCUGGUCUGUGAGGAUGAUCAGCCACACUGGGACUGAGACACGGCCCAGACUCCUACGGGAGGCAGCAGUGGGGAAUUUUGGACAAUGGGCGAAAGCCAGAUCCAGCCAUGCCGCGUGAGUGAAGAAGGCCUUCGGGUUGUAAAGCUCUUUCAGGUGGAAAGAAAUCAUCGCCCCGAAUACGGGCGGUGCAUGACGGUACCAUCAGAAGAAGCACCGGCUAACUACUUGCCAGCAGCCGCGGUAAUACGUAGGGUGCGAGCGUUAAUCGGAAUUACUGGGCGUAAAGCGUGCGCAGUCGGUUGUGUAAGACAGGUGUGAAAUCCCCGGGCUUAACCUGGUAACUGCGCUUGUGACUGCACGGCUAGAGUACGGCAGAGGGGGGUGGAAUUCCACGUGUAGCAGUGAAAUGCGUAGAGAUGUGGAGGAUCACCGAUGGCGAAGGCAGCCCCCUGGGCCUGUUCUGACGCUCAUGCACGAAAGCGUGGGGAGCAAACAGGAUUAGAUACCCUGGUAGUCCACGCCCUAGACGAUGUCGACUAGUUGUUCGGAGAGGAAACUUUCUGGGUAACGCAGCUAACGCGUGAAGUCGACCGCCUGGUGAGUACGGUCGCAAGAUUAAAACU
rnacentral:rRNA from 1 species